CAAAUGUGCCUGCACAUUAGUGAUGUCAACAAUAAUCAAUUAGGAAAAUGCCCAAAUUGAUGCGGCAUAUUUUUUAAUGUUUCAAUUACUUCUGUGGGCAUUUCUGGAGUAAAUGAACUUUACAUUAAAUGAAAGCACUUCAAGCAUUGAAAACUGGAGGAUUGCAGGACACACAGCAGCCAAUAAAAUGUUGUUCAGUGUCUGACUGCUUGUACUGCCUCAUGACAGAUAAAAAUGUGCAAUGCUUUCAGUAGAAAUGUAAUGCAUUGCAAUGCAUCGUACAAUCGGACUGAAUCGAUUUGAAAUGAAACGUUACCUCCUGAAUCGUAAUCGAAUUUUAAGGGUAGUGGCAAUGCAUUCCACUACUGCACAUAUACUGUUGUUGGAGUAUGUCUCAAGCAUUUUCUUGUAUCAUUGCCUUUUCAGGAGUAGAUGAGAGUGCCUGGCAAAUCCCGCUGAUGUGCUUUGUGCGUCUGAACAGAAACCACUGCAGUGAGGCUUGACAUGGUUAUCCCUCAUUCAUUGCCUGGUAAUACAGUGGAGAAACGUUGUAAGACUGUCUGAAUGAGCUCCUGCUGUUGACGGACAUCCACCAGGCUGUGCAGUGACUGCUGACCAAUAAGGGUUGAAAGGACGGGUAGAGGAGUGGAGGUGGACAUGGAGCCCUUUGUGUUCGACUUCGAAAUACAAGAGGACAUGGAGGACUUCUCGAAGGACUGCCAGGCCGUACUGGCAACAUGUGCCCACCCUAACACUCACACUUUCCCUAAAGUUUUGGUAUCAAGGUCUGUGUCUGGCAGUGCAAUGAACUUGCGCACACCUAGUGGUGUUGCGGUAAGCAACCACUUGGCCAACUGAAACAAAGAUGCGAGGCGAAUUAAUUGUUAUUACCAAAAUAUUGUCAGCAUUUCAGUGCAACAGUGUUUAGAUAAGUACCUAAUAAGCUAGUUGAGCCUGUGGGUUUGUAUUCGAUUUACAACGGCUAACACUCAUAAACAAACAAACACACACCCACCCACACACACACACACACACACACACACACACACUCCCAGGGCUUUUUCUGAACGGGGAAAUAGGGGCGCUCCACCCUCAUACCUCCGUGGGUGCACCCUCAUACUUUUAUUUUUAUAUAUGUAUAUAUUUGAGCGCCCCUAAUAAAUUUCUCAUUCAUGGGGGGGAACACCCCCCUUCACCCCCUGUAACCUGCCAUGAUGCUCCCUCAUGCCAAAAAAUCCUAGAAAAAGUCCUGCACUCCCAACAUUUCCUUUGACUCUCCCACACACUCCAAAACAACUCCAGUUGAGAAAAUGUUCUUUUCUAAUCUCACCAUUACGGUCUUCCUGGAUGAUAUCAGAAUAACAGCCACUCUUGGAAAUGUGUAGUAAAUGUUUUAUUUAUGUACACGUUUAUACUUCAGUUGUUUUCAUUUAGUAUUGUGUUUGCUUUCUUAUCUUAACAAAUAAGAUGCUUCAGAGGCUGAGAGUGCACAUAGUUAAAUGUCUGCACAUAUGUAAUUAUUCAUAUUUUAAUUAAAAGUUUAUUUUUGUGUUUUUUUUUGUUUUGUUUGAUUGUCCUGGUCCGUCUUUGGUGGAUUUAAAACUGUGUUUGUCUAAUAAACAAAUUUGAUUUAAUUGAACCAAU